rnacentral:rRNA from 1 species
UAGAGUUUGAUCCUGGCUCAGAAUGACCUCUGGCGGCGUGCCUAACACAUGCAAGUCGUACGAGAAAGACUGUUUUCGGAUGGUCGAGUAAAGUGGCGCACGGGUGAGUAACGCGUAGGUAACCUACCCUUGUAUUGGGGAUAACAGGACGAAAGUUCUGCUAAUACCGGAUGUGACCUGGGGCUGGAGGGUUUCAGGUUAAAGUGGGCCUCUCGAAGAAGCUCAUGUACAGGGAUGGGCCUGCGUCCUAUCAGCUUGUUGGUGGGGUAAUGGCCUACCAAGGCGACGACGGGUAGCUGGUCUGAGAGGAUGAUCAGCCACACUGGCACUGGAACACGGGCCAGACUCCUACGGGAGGCAGCAGUGAGGAAUUUUGCGCAAUGGGAGCAAUCCUGACGCAGCAACGCCGCGUGGGUGAAGAAGGCCUUCGGGUCGUAAAGCCCUGUCAGGUGGGAAGAAGGGUCCUAUCAGGAAAGGGGUGGGAUUUGACGGUACCACCAGAGGAAGCACCGGCUAACUCCGUGCCAGCAGCCGCGGUAAUACGGAGGGUGCGAGCGUUAUUCGGAAUUACUGGGCGUAAAGCGCGUGUAGGCGGGGGAGCAAGUCUGAUGUGAAAGCCCCGGGCUUAACCCGGGAAGUGCAUUGGAAACUGUUUUUCUUGAGUACUGGAGGGGAAGGGGGAAUUCCCGGUGUAGAGGUGAAAUUCGUAGAGAUCGGGAGGAAUACCAGUGGCGAAGGCGCCCUUCUGGACGGUUACUGACGCUGAGACGCGAAAGCGUGGGGAGCAAACAGGAUUAGAUACCCUGGUAGUCCACGCUGUAAACGA